rnacentral:rRNA from 1 species
UACGUAGGGUGCGAGCGUUGUCCGGAAUUAUUGGGCGUAAAGGGCUCGUAGGCGGUUUGUCGCGUCGGGAGUGAAAACUCAGGGCUUAACCCUGAGCCUGCUUUCGAUACGGGCAGACUAGAGGUAUGCAGGGGAGAAUGGAAUUCCUGGUGUAGCGGUGAAAUGCGCAGAUAUCAGGAGGAACACCGGUGGCGAAGGCGGUUCUCUGGGCAUUACCUGACGCUGAGGAGCGAAAGCGUGGGGAGCGAACAGG